GGGUCCAUGGCGCAGUGGUAGCGCGUCCGUUUUGCAUACGGAAGGUCGGGGGUUCAAUCCCCCCUGGAUCCA